UACGUAGGGUGCGAGCGUUAAUCGGAAUUACUGGGCGUAAAGCGUGCGCAGGCGGUUUUGUAAGUCAGAUGUGAAAUCCCCGGGCUUAACCUGGGAACUGCGUUUGAGACUACAAGGCUAGAGUGUGGCAGAGGGGGGUGGAAUUCCACGUGUAGCAGUGAAAUGCGUAGAGAUGUGGAGGAACACCGAUGGCGAAGGCAGCCCCCUGGGUUAACACUGACGCUCAGGCACGAAAGCGUGGGGAGCAAACAGG
rnacentral:rRNA from 1 species